UGUUCUCCCUCUUCGACACUCUCUCUAGCUUAACCAUCGGAGGGUCCUCCUCUAAAGAAUCUCCACCUUCUUCUUCGACAUGUGCGGAUUUUCUUAUAGGUCCAUAAGAUCUAGAUCGGAGCCCAACUAUUCCAACUUGGUGGGUGAUCUGUGUUGUCCCACCACUUCAUCACUUCAUCGGAGAGAUGCAAUAAUAGAUUGACAUUAGAUAAAGGGCACUCAUCCCAUUUUCUAGAGGAAGAUGGUGAGAACGCAGUUGCAGAACUACCUCACUAUGUUGCGUUGGCAGUUAUUGCUGCAUAGUAACCCCAA
rnacentral:lncRNA from 1 species